rnacentral:tRNA from 1 species
UUUAAGUUAUUACAAACUAUAAGCCUUCAAAGCUUACAAUGAAUUUAAGUUCAAAUCUUGAACU